CCCUCAUAUACAACACUCACACACACACGCACCCCGCACCUCAAUGCAGUAUGUGUGUAUUCAGCAGUGUGUGUGUGUGUGUGUGUGCGUGUAUUCAGCAGUCUGUGUGUGUUUCCGUGUAUUCAGCGGACUGUGUGUGUGUACUCAGCAGUCUGUGUGUGUGUGUACUCAGCAGUCUGUGUGUGUGUGUACUCAGCAGUCUGUGUGUGUGUACUCAGCAGUCUGUGUGUGUGUAUUCAGCAGUCUCUGUGUGUGUACUCAGCAGUCUCUGUGUGUGUGUGUGUACUCAGCAGU